CUGGGACAGACACUCAGAGACCAGCAGGACAGAGGACACAGGAGCUGAGAGAAACACACACAGAUGAGUUUAGAUAUUAUAAUAAGAUGCACUUUCAUACACUAUGCUUCCCUCUGUGUAACGUUACAUGGCCUGUAACUUGGUGGCUGAUUUUCCAUAGUAACUAAAAUUUUCCACUUUGCAGUCACUUACAGUACAUCGUGGAAUAUCUAAGAGGGAAGACAUAUCUCAAAAUGACUUGCUGCAAAGGUUGUAUCCAGCUAUUUCUGAGGUGCUGUCCAUCAGCUGGAUGUCCACAGUUCCUCCCAAAGCUCCAUAACACUGAGUUCCAUCCUGUCUGCCAUCACACAUGUCUUUAUCCUGUUUUCCUUCUCUCACCCCAACCGGUCGCAGC